rnacentral:piRNA from 1 species
UCCAAGUCAGAAAUUCCAUAGAGAAUGUCU